AGAUCCCACAUCCUUAUCCACCAAACCACAAGGCUCUCGUGGUAGGUAUUAUAAUAUAUCGCAAGGCUGAUUUUCUCCUGAAGAAUGAGCAGAGGGGCCUAUUUUAAGAAGAUGGAAAGGACAUGAGCUUUAGAAUCAGCCUUGUGUCAUACCUCUGGCUCUUCCUAGUAUUAACUGUGCAGCUGUGGGCAAGUUAUUUCACCUUAAUUACUCAUCUGUGAAAUAGGGAUGAUAAUAUCUAGUUUGUAGGGUACAGUGACAAUUAAAGAGAAUAUUUUAAAGUGCCUAGAAUAGAUCCAUCACUUAAAAAUACUUUAAAAGUUUUAAUUUCUUUCUCAGAUACAUGACUAGUGCCCUACUUACAGAGAAAGAAUCAAUCCCAUUGUAUGUCACAAUUUUUCAUAAGAAUUUCUCAUUACAUAAUUAAAUAUUUAUAUUGAGAGAAAAAAGUGCUACAGAAAUUUAGAUUUAUCUGUCUCUCUUGCCAGUUCAGUUUCUGUCCUGCCUAGUAUGAACAAAAGAAUUAAUUCUUUUAACAAAAGGUUACCAUUGACAAAUAAUUAGUAUUAGCAUUCAACACAAUUUUUCAUUGGUAAUAGAAAUAGUUUUAGAAAAUGCUUACUUUUUAGUUACAAUUAGUAUUAGAAUGACCUAUAAUAUAAUAUGAGAAAGAAAAAAAUGCUCUAGACUAGUAUCUAGUUCCAUAGUUUACUAAGUACCAUAGGGGGAGAAAUGGAGAUAUUAGAAUAUCAGCAUUUCUGUUACAAUCUUAUGAACAUGAUUAGCAUGAAUAUUUUAUUACCAACAGUGUAUAGUCACAGUUUUGUAAGAAAAUGAUUUUCUUUUCUACAGCUAAAAGCACAAAAUUGGCACUCAACCACUUAUAACUCUUAUAAUAAUUUAUACUUCUAUUUUAAUUCUUAAAUUAGCUACUUGCCUACCAAAUAACAAAGAAUGUCGAUUUUGUUUACCAUUCUCAAGUUCUGUACUUUCCAAAUAAGGAUGAGAAAUAAACUGAGAACAGGCAGGCAGUCCAAGUAUACAGAACAUAAGUGUACCAGGGAAGAAGUAGGACAGCUUGCAAUGACCUAAGAAGAAAGCUUGGAGCAAUUAGAAGAAGGAGGAGAAAACGUAGCUAGAGGUCAAGGGUAAAGCAGUUUACUAUAGAGGCCUAGACAAAUAUAUGACAAACACAGAAGUUGGAAACAUUCUUGACUUCUAAUAAUGCUGUAUUUAUAAGUACCAUAUUUAAAAACCAGAAUUAUCCUCUAGCAUACAUUUUAUAAUGGCUUAAGUUACAAAUUAGAGUUUUUAAUCUCAGAGUAGGAGGACUUCUCUAAAGCCACAGAAUAUGAGUAUUAUAGAAGUAAGAGAGAAAUGGGUAAGAAAACAAGUCCUGGUGAUUCCAAUCUUCUUAAAAAUUAUGAUGCUUUCUUUCUUUCUUUCUCUCUCUCUCUCUCUUUCUUUCUUUUAACAAUUGAGUAGAACAGCAGAAGCACCUGGAUCUUGAAGAGAACAGAUCUUGAGAGAACUUAAGGAGAGGCAUAAAAGACCAAAGAGAUUGCUGAGACUGUAAGAAAGCAGUCUCUGAGCGUGACACUGUGCUGUUGACACAGAGUAACAGAAGACAUGACUGUGAUUAUUAAACAAAGCCUUUUAUGGCCAACGACUUACAAAGGAGUCACAAAUCUCUGUUAAUUAUAUAAUAAGUGCAUUUCUAAAAGCCUCCUAUGAAUGAACCAGUGGAGAUCAAUUAAAGGGAUAACAGUUUACUCUUUGCUUAUUAAGUUACUAUCAGCAAAAACAAGGAAACAAAAAAAAAGAAAAUGGACUUUUGUCCAUGGAGGGUAUUAAAACUUUAUGCAUCUUUACAGUCAUAGAAAAUUUCACAAAUUAUUACACUUAGGAUUUUUGGGGAUUAGCACAUGCACUAAAUGAGAUGCAGUGGAAAAGUGACACAGGGGAAAGCCUGAAAGUCAUGUGCCUAUUAGGGCCCUGAAUCAUCAUCCUGGCAAGAAUGUGAAGGGGCCGAUUGCUACACAUCCUCUUACUUUUUAUUUUUUAUUUUUACGGGCCAAGUAGAGAGAUAAAUGUUUGUAUAAAGAAAAAGAAUUGAAUGGCAAUUCAGAUAUAAUGUCCCAUUUGGUCUUUUUAGAAGGAAAGUGUUACACAUAAAAAGGUAGGUAGUUCCCUGUAUGUUCUAUGAUUUGAGACACACCCAAAGGGGUGCCUGCUUUCUAACUAAAAAAUAUGUGUCCCACUGAUUGAGGCAUCUGAAAUUCACAUUAUCACCUACCACUUUAGGCUUAUAGCAUGGAAAGGAAGACUCUAGGUCUGUUGGAAAAUGGGGCCACGGUAAACCAGGAAGAGGGAGCCUGGGCAGUGAGAGAGUGUUCAGUAUUCAAAAGAUGACACAGAAAGGUCAGCAAGGGGCAAAUGGAAAGGCACAAAAAAUAGCUUUAAGAAUUUGGCCCAAAGGAAAUGAGAGUUCGAUAUUUUCUAUCAGUGAGUAAGAUAUUACUCACUGAAUUGGUCAUUUUUGGCAUCAAUUAUUUUUGAUGCUUACUGAGUUGUGUUUUGUGUAUUUAUUAUAAACGCUCUGUUUCUUUUUGGAAACUGAUUUUGUCAUUUGGCUCCUUUCCAGAUCAGUUUCCUUCCAAUCACCAUUAAUGGGUAUUGAUUGAAUGUGACAAUUUUAGCCUCAGAUGGACUAAAUGCCUUAAUAGAGAGAGAUUUAUAUGCAAGAUCUAUUUUUACCUAAAUCUUUAGGGUUUGGUUCAGACAGAGUGAUUAUAGAAAUCAUAUGCAUAUACGAUAAACAUUUUUGUAUCUAUACAACUUUUAAAUACACUACAUAUAUAUAUCUUUGUUAUAUAUAUAUAUGUUAUAUAUAUAUGUGUGUGUUUGUGUGUAUGUAUAUAUAUAUAUUCCAAGAAUUUCACCUAAAGGGAAAUUCUAUUUUUCUGUCUUACUCAUUAAAUUGGCCAUUUUUGGCCUCAAUUAUUUUCUUGCUUGUUACCAAUGUUAUAUAUACCAUAUUCAAAUAUUUGUUAUCUUUCUGUAUAUAUUGUACUUAUAAUUUUUAUGAAUAAAAGUAUAUGCACAUUUUAAACUGUAACGUCUUAAGACAUUUAAUCUGUCUAGAUGGUUACUCAUGUCUAGAUGAUUCAAUUGAUAUCAGAAUCCUAUCAAGACGAACUUCUUAUUUCUCCUCACCUUCACCCCCACCACCACUUGCCUAGUUUAUGUUUUCAUCAGUUCCACUUGCAUUACUGAAAUAGCCUGGCCUUGCUG
rnacentral:lncRNA from 10 species